rnacentral:rRNA from 1 species
CCCUUAGAUGUUCUGGGCCGCACGCGCGCUACACUGAUGCAUUCAACGAGUCUAAAACCUGCUCUGAUAGGGGUGGGUAAUCUUUUGAAUGUGCAUCGUGAUUGGGAUAGAUGAUUGCAAUUUUUCAUCUUCAACGAGGAAUGCCUAGUAAACGCAAGUCAUCAGCUUGCAUUGAUUACGUCCCUGCCCUUUGUACACACCGCCCGUCGCUCCGACCGAUUGAAUGAUCCGAUGAAUAUCAUGGAUUGAGGAUGCAAGUAGGUUAGCCUAUCUUCAUCUUCGAGAAGUGAAGUAAAUCUUAUCAUUUAGAGGAAGGAGAAGUCGUAACA